rnacentral:rRNA from 1 species
GUCUAUGGCCAUGCUACCCUGAACAAGUUGGAUCCUGUCUGAUCUCGGAAGCUAAGCAGGGUCGAGCCUGGUUAGUACUUGGAUGGGAGACCACCUAGGAAGACCAGGUGCUGCAGACA